rnacentral:rRNA from 1 species
GACGAACGCUGGCGGCGUGCCUAAUACAUGCAAGUUGAGCGCUGAAGGUUGGUACUUGUACCAACUGGAUGAGCAGCGAACGGGUGAGUAACGCGUGGGGAAUCUGCCUUUGAGCGGGGGACAACAUUUGGAAACGAAUGCUAAUACCGCAUAAAAACUUUAAACACAAGUUUUAAGUUUGAAAGAUGCAAUUGCAUCACUCAAAGAUGAUCCCGCGUUGUAUUAGCUAGUUGGUGAGGUAAAGGCUCACCAAGGCGAUGAUACAUAGCCGACCUGAGAGGGUGAUCGGCCACAUUGGGACUGAGACACGGCCCAAACUCCUACGGGAGGCAGCAGUAGGGAAUCUUCGGCAAUGGACGAAAGUCUGACCGAGCAACGCCGAGUGAGUGAAGAAGGUUUUCGGAUCGUAAAACUCGGUUGGUAGAGAAGAACGUUGGUGAGAGUGGAAAGCUCAUCAAGUGACGGUAACUACACAGAAAGGGACGGCUAACUACGUG